AUUGAACGCUGGCGGCAGGCCUAACACAUGCAAGUCGAGCGGAUGAAGGGAGCUUGCUCCUGGAUUCAGCGGCGGACGGGUGAGUAAUGCCUAGGAAUCUGCCUGGUAGUGGGGGAUAACGUCCGGAAACGGGCGCUAAUACCGCAUACGUCCUGAGGGAGAAAGUGGGGGAUCUUCGGACCUCACGCUAUCAGAUGAGCCUAGGUCGGAUUAGCUAGUUGGUGGGGUAAAGGCCUACCAAGGCGACGAUCCGUAACUGGUCUGAGAGGAUGAUCAGUCACACUGGAACUGAGACACGGUCCAGACUCCUACGGGAGGCAGCAGUGGGGAAUAUUGGACAAUGGGCGUAAGCCUGAUCCAGCCAUGCCGCGUGUGUGAAGAAGGUCUUCGGAUUGUAAAGCACUUUAAGUUGGGAGGAAGGGCAGUAAGUUAAUACCUUGCUGUUUUGACGUUACCAACAGAAUGAGCACCGGCUAACUUCGUG
rnacentral:rRNA from 1 species